rnacentral:rRNA from 1 species
GAUGAACGCUGGCGGCGUGCUUAACACAUGCAAGUCGAACGGAAAGGCCCAAGCUUGCUUGGGUACUCGAGUGGCGAACGGGUGAGUAACACGUGGGUGAUCUGCCCUGCACUUCGGGAUAAGCCUGGGAAACUGGGUCUAAUACCGGAUAGGACCACUUCUUGGAUGUUGUGGUGGAAAGUUUUUUCGGUGUGGGAUGAGCUCGCGGCCUAUCAGCUUGUUGGUGGGGUAAUGGCCUACCAAGGCGUCGACGGGUAGCCGGCCUGAGAGGGUGUACGGCCACAGUGGGACUGAGAUACGGCCCAGACUCCGACGGGAGGCAGCAGUGGGGAAGAUUGCACAAUGGGCGCAAGCCUGAUGCAGCGACGCCGCGUGGGGGAUGACGGCCUUCGGGUUGUAAACUCCUUUCGCUAGGGACGAAGCGUUUUGUGACGGUACCUGGAGAAGAAGCACCGGCUAACUACGUG